rnacentral:sRNA from 1 species
GUUAAGACAAAAAUCUCAAAAUGACUGUGUUUUCUGCCUCCUGGGUCUCAAAGGCAGGUGCAAUGCCCAGAGGCUGGUCCUGCACAGAGGGACCCAGGGCGUGCUGGCCUUCCCAGUGUCCCACUGGUGGCUGAUCUAAGCAGUGCUUUCCCUCGUUUUUUUAUUUUGAGACAGAGUCUUGCUCUGUCCCCCAGGCUGGAGAGCAACGGCACGAUCUCGGCUCACUGCAGCCUCCCGCUUCAGCCUCCCAGAUAGCUGGGAUUACAGGCGUGCGCCCUCAUGCCUGGCUAAUUUUUGUAUUUUUAGUAGAGACGGGGUUUCACCUUGUUGGUCAGGCUGGUCUCCAGUUCCUGGCCUCAAGUGAUCCGCCCGCCUCGGCCUUCCAAAGUGCUGGGACGACAGGCGUAAGCCUCUGCGCCCGGCCUCCCCAUUGUUUCUAAUGGUCCCUCAGUGCCCACCAGGUGAUGGUGGCAGAUUUUCCAUCCGCAUUGCUCCUGGACAUGCGGAUGUAGGUUUCAGCAGUUCCCAUCAUUAGACACAGUUGCCGUAGGCUGGGUUCUUAGUAGCAGGCUCAAUGGGGCCUUUGAGUCUUUCCAUGGCUGGUGCCCGCCGGACUCACUGAGGGAAACUAAUGGGGAAGCACUGGUCUCCAUUCCCUGCACGCACGGCCCGCUGCUGCGAUGGUGAAGGGAUAAGGUCGUAUUCACGCGUCGAAGUUUGUGUCCACUGCACACGCGGCUCACUGCUGCGAUGGUGGAGGGAUAAGGUCGUAUUCACGCGUUGAAGUUGGUGCCUCUCAGUAUCGCUUUAUGUUUGUUGGCCACUUGGUGGUCCUUGUAUGAGCUGUCCACUCCUUGUUGAUUGGCCAGAGCUCUUUACAUGGGGAGGACCAUGGGCCCUCAUCUGGCAGGUGUGCAGGCACCCACGCACUCUCUUGUCCCUUGCAGCGGCUGGCUGUCGGCAAUUGGAUUCUUCCAGUACAGCCCGGGCGCUGCCGUGGUCAUGCUGCUUCCAGCCAUCAUGUUCUCCGUGUCGGCUGCCAUGAUGGCCAUCGCGAUCAUGAAGGUGCACAGGAUCUACCGAGGGGCCGGCGGAAGCUUCCAGAAGGCACAGACGGAGUGGAACACGGGCACUUGGCGGAACCCACCGUCGAGGGAGGCCCAGUACAACAACUUCUCAGGCAACAGCCUGCCCGAGUACCCCACUGUGCCCAGCUACCCGGGCAGUGGCCAGUGGCCUUAGAGGGAUCCAGCCCUGCCCCCACCGCCCACCACCUCCUCCCCUUCAUUCCUGCUGCUACCCCUGGUCCCGAGGGCUGGGAGUACCUGGGGCCCCAUCCCCCAAGCUGGGAUGGUGGAAGCCGGUGGUGGCCACAGACCGCCCCCCUCCUGCCAGGGCCACAGAACCCGUGUUCAUCUCAUCCGAGAGCGGAGUUCCUCACAAGCACUCCCCAGGAGCCCUUGGCCUCUGCCGUCCACAGGACGCCCUCUUGCUCCCGGAAACGUGUGGUCACCCGCCGUCCACUGCACGGCUGGUACGGCCUUGUCUUCAGGUCUCGAGGCCUGACUCCGGGGGACAGGUGGCAGCAGGUCGGCCGCCCUCCCAUCCUCCCAGAGCUGCAGGCGCUGAGGUCAGAGCGGGUCUGAUGGGGAGCUCCGUCUCACACCGGCCACCCGCCGUCACCAUGGCAGAUGCCCUUGGCCGGAACUAAUAAGAGGCGUCGGGGCCAGCUUCCGGUCCCCUGCAGUGAUAGAGGGCUUGGUGCCUAGCCGAGUCCUCGCUGUCCCUGCCAUCCCCUGAUCUGUGUGGCUCCAGCCUCGCCCCCUCCCCACGUGCACCAUACCUGGGGAGUUCCUGGUCCAGGGUGUCCUGGGGCCACCCUCCCUGCCUCCAAAACAGGGAUCCCUGGCAGGCUGUCUUUCCACGCCCCUGAGUUCAGAGUCGGGGACCCAGGCCAGGUCGGGAGCACAGCCGCUCCCCAAACCCAGCAGACCGGCAGAGAGCCGGUUUACCAGCAGCCGGAGCCCUGCAGGAGAGGCCUUUUUGUUUUGUUUUGUUUUGUUUUUUCUCUUUUGAGACAGAGUUUCACUCUGUCGCCCAGGCUGGAGUGCAGUGGUGUGAUCUCGGCUCACUGCAACCUCUGCCUCCCGUGUUCAAGCAGUUCUCCUGCCUCAGCCUCCCAAAUAGCUGGGAUUACAGUUGCCUGCCACCGCGCCCAGCUAAUUUUUAUAUUUUUAGUACAGAUGGGGUUUCACCAUGUUGGCCAGGCUGGUCUCGAACUCCUGACCUCAAGUGAUCCACCCGCCUUGGCCUCCCAAAGUGCUGGGAUAAGAGGUGUGAGCCACCACGCCCAGCCUGGAGUGGCCUUUUAUGAGAGGGGACCCGUCAAAUCUGUGCCUUAUGGAGGGGUCCGGCAGCGGCCACAAUUGUCUUGUCCCCUCACCCCCCAACUCCCCCUGGAACACCUCUCCCAGGCAAGACAUUUCCACAGCACCAUUCACAACGGUUGGGCCAAAAAGAAACUUUUCCUUCAUCAUUUCCUGCACUCGCUGACCACAACUUUGGACACCCCAGGCUGCCACCCCUCACCACCCGUUCACCCCCAGGAUGCUGUUGCUGUAGGACGCCUGCUGCCCUGGAGCCCUCCCCGGGAUGUGGGCCAGUCCCCUCGCUGGUGCGGAAUGCCGCUGGGUGCCCGGAGGCAGCCAUGGUGUCUCGAUGGACGGCAGCCAGGAUGGAGCACCCAUGGGUCUCACGGCCAUGCUCCAGGGUCUUCAGGUCCUGCCCCCGGCCAAUCUGCCAAGAGGCACCCCCUUCCCCAGCCUCUCGCCUGCACUGAUGCAGACAAAAUCUCACCUGGCAGGCCCAUCCCCCCCACCCCUCCCCCACCGUGUGUGGCCCCUCGCCGCAUCGUUGGGGUUUUGUUACGUGAAAAUAUCCUGGAAAUACAUGUUUCUG